rnacentral:rRNA from 1 species
AGCGAACGCUGGCGGCAGGCCUAACACAUGCGAGUCGAACGAAGUCUUCGGACUUAGUGGCGGACGGGUGAGUAACACGUGGGAACGUGCCUUUAGGUUCGGAAUAACUCAGGGAAACUUGUGCUAAUACCGAAUGUGCCCUUCGGGGGAAAGAUUUAUCGCCUUUAGAGCGGCCCGCGUCUGAUUAGCUAGUUGGUGAGGUAAAGGCUCACCAAGGCGACGAUCAGUAGCUGGUCUGAGAGGAUGAUCAGCCACAUUGGGACUGAGACACGGCCCAAACUCCUACGGGAGGCAGCAGUGGGGAAUCUUGCGCAAUGGGCGAAAGCCUGACGCAGCCAUGCCGCGUGAAUGAUGAAGGUCUUAGGAUUGUAAAAUUCUUUCACCGGGGACGAUAAUGACGGUACCCGGAGAAGAAGCCCCGGCUAACUUCGUGCCAGCCGCCGCUGUAACAC